UCGAUGAUCAAACUACAAACUUUC
rnacentral:siRNA from 1 species